UAAUGCACAUGAAAUAUGUCCAUGCAUAUCUAAACUAGUCACUAAUUACUGGUUAUAAUUAAAAUUAGUAACUCAGCCUUCCUAUAUGGCUAGAGCUCAGAUCACUAACAAUAAAAGAAUUUGAAGCCCUAUGUCAUUCUUUGGGUUACCUUUAUAAUAGCAGUAUAUAAUUUUAGUUUGUAAUAAACUGCCAUAACUUCUUUUUGCUUUUAAUGAUUACUUUACAAUGUGUUUUACUGGCCAGAGACAUGGCUCAGUGGGGAAAGGCCCUUGCUUCAAGCCUGAUGACUUGAGUUUGGUUCCUAAGAACUACUUGGUAGGAGAGAACUGACUUCCUCAAGUUGUCCUUUGACUUCACCCAUAAACAAUAAAUAAAUGUAGUAAAAUAUGCUUUAUAUCCACUAUAAAAAUAGUAGGGGUCUAGAAGACAGAGUCACUCACUAAUGCCACAAUAUUUUAUGGUGCUAGAUUCAAUGCCCUUGAGACGGUUAGUAAACCAAAUGCAUGAUCAAUAUUUCCACUUUGAAAGAUCGGUAAAUCAUUAUGAAUGUUAAUAUGUCUGUAGGGCUAACUGAGAUUUGGAGUACAUAUGUAACAGCCUAUUUAAAUAUCAAUAUUGGCUAAUAAUAAUAUUGGACAUAUGUCGAUAUUCAGAAAGUCAAAUAUUACAAUACCAAAGUAAAAUGGUGUGACCAUGACUCUGGAAUAUAUAUCUUCUCCAUUCUCAUUUCUAUCAAGGGCAAAUUCUCAAAAACCCACCUCUCUAGAUACCAUGCUUAAUCCUUAUAGUUUAUCUUUAUUUUUUCUCAAUUAAAGAGAAAAGUUUGUCUUCAUCUCUAUAGUAAGUAUUCUCACCUGCAGAGAGCCUACCAUAAAACCUAAAAGAAGGUAUGAAGCAAGCACAUUAAAAACAUAGAGAUUAAAUAUGUUUUGAAUGCAUUGGUAUGUUAUAAAAGAAAAAAAAGUGCCUGCUGCAACAUAAAUACAAGACUAAGUCCCAGGUCUCCAACUUCCUUAGAAACUGAACUGGAAGAUGCAAUGAUAAAUCUGUAUUCCAACUGUCCAGUCUCCAACGGUAAGCACACGGGGCUCUCCCAACUGGAGCUUUUUGUGAUGGAGGUCACUGGAGCUCCAGCUAGCAUCUUCUCUACGUCUGCUCAUGCCUGACCCUCAGCAUCUAUGCUACAUUCAAGCUGAAGGAUGAUUGGUUAUGGCUUUGGUAAAUAUAAAAUACGUCAGGGAGCUGUCCCAGACACUGGAUGUCUCAGAGCUGUAUUUUUGUUGCUCCAUCAUGAAUAUAUGUGGAUAGACAUUUCCUUUUUUUUUUUUCAGUUUUAUGAGAUCCUUACCCAUGUUUUUAAUUAAGCUACACCACUUCUUCUCUGCAUUGGGUCCUACUAAAUGACAAAUGUUUCUAGCAUGCUUCCCACCCCCAUUUCUGUUCUGCUGUAGAAGGUCUGUCUUGUAAGGGUGGUCUGUUAGUGAUAACAAAUCUCUGUACAUGGAAAGACUGAGGCGAUAAGAGAGCCAGAAGUCCCUAUAUUUAGCCAUAUACUUCAGGAAAGUCAAGAAUCGGAAAAAGUCAGCAAACAAUCAAGGCCCAGCUGACUGCAGCUGUUUAGUUUCCAGGGAGACAAAAGACAAGAUCAACAGAACUUGUAGCCCUGUGAAAUGUCUGCAGAGAAGAGGGGCAUGUCACAUCAAGGAUGGGCUGCCAGGGUUCUAUUAAACAGAUAUUUAGUAUUCCCCCUCGUUCUCGGGGAAGCCUAGAGGAGCGAGGGCUAACUUAAGGACAAAGACACAGUGGUUUUGUUUACCAUCCUGACAAUUAGUUGUUCUGAACCACUGGUUAUUUUAAAUACCUCCAUUACAAAUUAGAUAUAGUAUGCAUUAUAUGUUAUACUAUACUACUUAUUAGUUCAUUAUUUCAAGAAGAAUCUCUGAGAGGAGCCUUAUGGUUUAGACUUCACAGGAGUAAGUGUACCACAUGGAUACAUCACAGCCUACACCUGGAUUCCCGAACCAAUGCUCAGUUAAGCUUUUAGUGAUGUCCCUUAAUACUCUGCUCCCUGUGAGCUCUCAUUUCCUUACUCUAUCUCCUUCAUUCUCUGUUUUCACUGGGACGCACAUCACCAAUUUUCUUAUGUAUUCAGAAAUUAUGAUUCUCUUUUAGCCAACAUAGAUGCCUCAAGAGAGAACAUCUAAUAUUUUCUUACUUCUUGUUCUCCAAUGCCCAGGACAUUCAGUAGCUGUCUGUGUGUAUAAGGAUGAAUGUGUAUUAUAUGAGGUCACAAGAUACAUUCUGUCUGCACAUUGGUCUUUUGUUCUCGUCACCUAAACCAUGCAUUCCCAAUCCCGCACAUAGAAUUUUCAUGGGAAGAGUAGAAGUGUUUACUCAGCAAGUUCCCUGGGAUGCAUCUUUAGGAUGGUUUCAAGCUAAUUGUGCUUCAAUCCAUAUGUAGUAGGUCACACCUGCAAUCCCAGCAUUGUACAGGCUGAAGGAAACAGGAAGGCUGAAAGGUCAAGGAGAUCUAGGGUCUAGAAAGAUCCCAGACUCUCCUUGUUCCUUGUACAAUAGACUACUCUAUCAAUAAAACACCCCUGCAGAAAAAUCCUUGUGCAUUUAUCUUGAGUGGUAUUUGUACCAUCACUUCUAUAGUGUCUACAGUAGAAUAUCUAGAUGAAAGAAUAUGCACAACUUUUGUAUCAUUUGUUGCUAAAUUGAAAAAUAGUUUGCUAAAUUAUUUCUGAAGGAAAACUUACUAAAGUUCUGGUAAUCAUUUAUAACUUCAGUUCUCUACAACCCAACCAGCAUGUUUCACAAACUGUCUUCCUUGUCUGAUUGAUGAGAGCAAUGAUAAAGUGUAUUGUCGAUAUUUUGGUAACUUUAAAAAAAGAUUUAUUUUGUUUUAUAUAUGAGUAGUUUACUUGCAUGCACGUGUGUGCGUGCGUGUGCAUGUACAGGCACCAUGUGCAUACACCUGGUGUUCAAGGAGGUCAAAAGAAGGCAUCUGAUCCCCUGAAACUUGAGUUACAGAUGGUUAUGAUCCAGCAUGUUGGUUGGAAACUGAACCAAAGUCCUCUGCAAGAAUAAGCGCCCUGAACCACGGAGCCACCUCUCCAGCUGCUUGUGACUAUUUCUUCUAUAACUAUGAUCAAAGAUGAACUAAUUUUCCUCACAGGAUUCAAAAGCAUAUUUUUCUGCAACACUAUUAAUUUUUAACUCUGCCCAGUUUUUUUUCUAGGUUUAAAUUUGCAUUAGGCAUAACACACUAGUAUCUAGUUUUCCAUUUCUCCAAGCCUUUUCAUGGGUAUUUAAUUUAGUCUUUUAAACUUUAUAAAGGAAUCCAUUUAACAAGUGAUGAUAGCAGAGGCCCAUUUAACUUGCUUUCCCAGCUAGAACAUCUCACACAAAACUUCUGAUUACCAAUGUAGUGGUUAGUCCACUUUAUCUCAGGCCAGGUUGGAACCAUAACUUAAUGAGGAUGUGCUCAUGUGACUGCAGGUGUCUCCAAAGGUCAGAGGUGUCAGAUCCCUCUGCAGCUGGAGUUUAAGAUGAUUGUGGGUAGCUCAGCAUGGGACCAAACCCCAGCCCUCUGCUAAAGCAGUGCACACUAUUGCACACUCCCUAUCACCGAGGCUCUCUCUGGCACUGAGAGUAAGUAGUUUCUGGUAAGCAUUCUAUAUUUAUAUACAUCUGAAUAUAGCAUAUAUAACAGGUGGGUGAAAAGAGUUUUGGAUUAUAGAAUACACACCUUUAACAAAGAUCUUAUGUACUGACCACAGAAAGAAAACUAUUCCAUCACAUCCAAUUCUAAGAACUUCAUGUAGAUUCAACUUUGUGACCGAGAUGUGCUUAUAGACUUUUAUAUCUACCAAGUCUAGAUUAUAAAAAUGGACAAUAUUUACUAAUACUAAUGGAACUUGGUCAAGGCAUGUGCCUUUACUCUCCCUUGUUCUGAUUCCAAAUGUCUGCAACAGGCAGCACAUUUUUUCUAGACCAGAGCAAGAAACCUCUAACAAUGAGUGUUUGUCUGUCCCCUAACUGAUUUCUCUAGGUGGGUGGAGGAAAUUUUAAAAAUCCACCUAGUAUAAGCAUUCAUUCUUUUGCCCCAAAGCAACAUGAGUGUCUAGAAGUGCUGCCCUUCUCUGAUCCACAUCCCAUCUGAAAUACAGAAUCUGUGGAUGUCUAUCCAUGAAUAAAGUCUACAAAAAAAAACAUAAAAGAGCUUAAGUAUAUGUGUGAGGAAGACAUUCAGUUAGUCUUAGUGCUUUCAGGGGCUCCAGAAUGCCCCACUAUUGACCAAUCAUUAACCUGAGAGUGUUUAAGCUUAGCAGUGUAAAGAGAGACAGAACAAUGGGUGCAUCACCCUCACUAAUCAAAUUUAGCUUUAUACCCUUCCUCACUCUUUAUAUCCUUCCCAAACAAAACGUUACUCAUACAUAGACAGAGGCAGCAUGGAAUACCACAGGGAUUUCCCUGCAGUUAGUAGAAGCCACGAAAGGGGGUAAGCCUGACUGCAUAAAUACCUAUUAACCUGAAGAAAUUCUUUUCAAACUUUCUCUCUCUCUUUCUUUUUUUUUUUUAAGGAAGGAAAUAAGACUUAUUAUAAAGAGGCUUAAAUUUUCAAACCACCAAGAAAAAGCAAACUUUGAACUCUUACAUAAAUUCUAAGUGAUGCUCUUGAAUCCCAUCCUUUCUACCACCCACAAGAAGAUUAAGGACUGUGGACUUCCUGCUGGAGGAAGUAAUUGCUCAACUGCUUGGGAAUCUAUUGGAACCCUUUGUAGCAUUCGUGGGGACAUGCAGAUGCAAUUUGUCAAGUAUUCCUUUAUUACAUUGUGACUCAGAACUAGAACUCAGGUGCUUUGGGACCCCCUCCUUGCUAUGUUCCUCUUACAAAUGGUAAUCCGCUCCACCUCAGACAACUAUCUGAUACUUCCACUAAUGUUUUCCUAUUAAAUCCAGAACAUUUCAUUUUAGGCUUUUAUGUGAAUGUUUUCUUAGUUUGACACAGUUGCCAACCAGUACUUAGCACAAUUUAGGCCAUAGCUUUUAGAGAGAAGAAGAAAGGAAAAAAACAAAAAACAAAAACCACGAUAAUGGACCACUUAUAAACAGAAUUUAAGGUGGGAGAGAGGAUCAUUAAAACCUAGCUUUUCCGAAUUAGAAGCUGGAGAAUUUACAGUGAAGACCUUAGUAGCAGGGUCCAGUCUAAAUCAUGAGACCAACCGCAGCGCUCUCCCCUCCCCCACCCAACCCCUAAACGCUGCAGCUGCCAACCCAGCUCUUUAUCAGCCAUUUGGUCAACUUGUGCUAGACACCUACCCCCUGCCCUUUCCUGCCCACUCUAAUGAUCCUGGUUGAUACUCAAUUACAGCAGAAUUAAUUUUGUCUCUGGCUAAAUGUGGUCUUUAGGAAUGUAAAUGUAUUUCAAAACGAAUGCAUGGAGCAAUCGCAAAUUUGUCUCAUUUUCAUGCCAAGAUUUGACUUAGAAUAAAUCAUCACUUUUCCUCCUUUUAAAGCAAAAACCCUGUACUUGCAUAUCACUUCCCCAAAAAAGCAAGAGAAAACAGUAUUUUAACGGCUUUUAACUUGAGUCUUUGGUGCCAUCUUAAUAGAAGUUGGAUCCGCUCCAGCUUCAGCUAGCCUUUGGAGCUCAGGAGACACGCCAGCCGAGGCCCCACCCGGGUUCAGCCCAGCCCCGCCCCAGUUGGCCGCAGCCGCUGGAGACCUAGGCUAAGCGACUCGCCCGAGCAGCUGUGCAGCUGUCUGGGAGCCCAGGAAGUCACACCCGUCUCGCGCACUGAGCUGAAGCUCCAGCCCACGUGGCGAAUAGCGAACCCCCCGGCGCUGAAGGGAGUGCCUAGCCGGGCCCCUCCUCCAAACCAGGGUACUUGGACUAGAUGGCAGUUCUGUGUUGCAUGGCGUAUUUGAGCAUGACAAGAUGCCAGUGAGGUGUGGAGAAGCAGAGGAAUGAAAAGUGUCCUGUGCAUCCAGAAGACACACUGCCUCUCACUUUUCAUAAUGCUGGAUGGAACUGUGUGGCUAAUACAUAUUCAUAAGUCCAAGGCGAAUGUCUUAGAUAAAUGAACAAACAUCACAGCAUUGCUUGCUGGGCGGCUCGGCUAAUGCUUCAGAAUUAGUAAUGUGUUAUUUACAGAAGUGAAAUAUUUGCUUCCCUUGGCACCUUCUCCUACAUGUAAAUUACUGGCCCAUUUUAAAUUUUUGUGUGUAUUUAACUAUUUUUGGUAGUUAAAUAUGAUCCAGCAAUAUUUUAGUUUUAUAAGAUAUGAAUCUUAAAAAUUUUUAUUUUCUCAAAUGGAAAUCUUCACAUUGCAGAGAUAAUGACUUUGAAGUAGAUUUCCUGCACCACCCCCCAAGGCCCCUUCUUAUAUCCAUGUAUUUACUUGUAUUCCCACCAAUAAGGAGCACUUACCCAUGGGAUGCUAAUACUUUUUAAAACAAAUGGUUCUAUUUUCAGGACUUCACAGGCAAUGAGGCAACCUAUCUGUUAAUUGAGGAGGAGCUGACACUAUUAAAUUUGGUUCUAUAUGGAA